rnacentral:rRNA from 1 species
GCAUAUCAAUAAGCGGAGGAAAAGAAACUAACAAGGAUUCCCUUAGUAACGGCGAGUGAAGCGGGAAGAGCUCAAAUUUUAAAUCUCCGAGGUUUCCUCGGCGAGUUGUAAUUUGAAGAGAGUGUUUUGACGUUCGGGUUUAAUCCAAAUCCUUUGGGAUAAGGUAUCAUAGAGGGUGAGAAUCCCGUUUAUGAUUGAAUCUCGAGUGUCGCUCAAUUCACUUUCCAAGAGUCGAGUUGUUUGGGAUUGCAGCUCAAAACGGGUGGUAAAUUUCACCUAAGGCUAAAUAUGUGCAAGAGACCGAUAGCGAACAAGUACCGUGAGGGAAAGAUGAAAAGAACUUUGAAAAGAGAGUUAAAUAGUACGUGAAAUUGUUGAAAGGGAAACGAUUGAAGUCAGUCAUGCUAGUGAGGAAUCAACCUGAUGGUGUGUGGGUUCUCCCUCGUACUUUCCGGUGCACUUCCUCACCCGGCAGGUUAGCAUCAAUUUCGGUUAUCAUAAAAAAUUUGAGAGAAUGUGGCUUUCCUUCGGAAAGUGUUAUAGAUCUCGAUCUAUGUGGUGACCGGGAUUGAGGAUUGCAGCGGAUACCCUCGUGGCUCGUCACCUGACUUCUGACGGUUACCCCGCUUUCGAUAGCUCGCUAACGUUAGUGGGACUCGAUUGUCUAGAUGUCAGAGUGAUUGAUUUUCGCUAAGGAUGCUGACGUAAUGGCUUUAAACGAC